UACAGAGACCUCAAGCGUUAUCCGGAAUCAUUGGGCGUAAAGCGUGCCGAUAGGUGGAUUUAUUAGUCUUGGGUAAAAGCCAGAAGCUCAACUUCUGAGUUUGCUUAAGAUACUGUAAAACUAGAGGGGCAAAGAGGUGCUUGGAACGAAUGGUGUAGUAGUGAAAUGCGUUGAUAUCAUUCGGAACACCGAAAGCGAAGGCAGAGCACUGGGUGCCACCUGACACUGCUAGGACGAAAGCGUGGGGAGCGAACAGG
rnacentral:rRNA from 1 species